ACCAGACACACUUGCAGCUUAAAUAUCUUAUUUGCCUGGGAAUUAGACAGUGUCCUCGGGAAGCUAGAGGAUUUUUUUCCUAUUUGUUCAGAUUGCUUAGAGUUAAUUACCUCAGACUAAUCAUCUCACAAAAACACACCAAGUAACUACUGAUUAAUUCAUGCAUUAAUGCAUUCAGAUUGCCUGCCUUAUUCCCUACACAGGAUAGAAGAGUCCAGUUAACUAAAAUACGCUAGUAAAUUAUCAUGUGCUAGGGUAUCAUCAAGGCUGUGGUUACUAUCAUAGCUCACAGAAUGAAACAUCUGUCUGUUCCCAUUGCUGUUGUAUAUCCACUUCUGUAAUAAGAAUGAUUUUGUGUCGUAGAGUUUAUUUAUAUGACCUGCAAACCACAGACUGAGUCCUGCUUUUCACUCAUGUGUAACUUUUAAAUUCUUUGAUGCUAUUUUAGCUUGCGUAGACUUGAAGAGUCUUCUCUCUUUUUCUUUUUUUUUCAUUUUUCUUUUUAAUGGUUCUUGGUGAAAGAUUUAAGGGAUUUUUGAACCAUCUUUUCUCUUUCUGAACAUAAUCUAUCUAACUAUGUCUUCUCAGUUACAUUAUUCUCAUAAAUGUGCCGUUUCAAUGACCACCAUAAUCUCAUUCUUUCUCUGAUAUUUGACAAGGCAGUUGAGAGACAUAGGAGCUUUAUAGUAUUUACUGAUUUAGUUGUAAUUGUAUGGUGCUAUUAAUACUAUAGAAGUUUAUGGUGCUUGAUGAAGUGUCUCAGGCUUUAGCGAGGUCGUGCUUGAUCAUUUUUUUCAGGCAUUCAUGAGCUGCUGUUUACCCUGACUGAUUGAACGGGAGUGUGUGUGUAACUGUGUGUUGAGUGUAUGCAUGUGCUAACUGGGUUAAGGGCUGUUUGUGUUGUGGGAGGUGAUGAGCCAGAUGGAGUUGCCUUGUAUACAUAUAGAAUGAGGCAGAAGGCACUAAAAAUAACGCUUUUACCUGGAUGAUGCCUCACACAUAUUCAAUAAGCUUUCUUGGUUUAACAACAACAACAGAGGUUAUCACAGAUUCAUUAGCUAGCCCAACUUGGGCAGAGUUAUACUUACUUUUACAUAAUGAGUCUACUAUGGAUAAAUGCAUGUUGAUGCCUUCAUGUUUCCUGCACUAGCACAUAAGUCUUUUACUUACUUCAUCUUCUUGUCUUUUAUGGAAACGUGGAUUGUACCCAUGAUUACACACGAUUCCUUGAUUUUGGUCUGUGGGUGAGGUGAGAUGAGGUGAGAUGAUUUCCUUCUGAAAUCAAUGACCAUAUCUUUUGACUUGGAUGUAUUGAGUUGGAAGAAGAUCUAAUCACACCAUCUAACUAACCACCAUUUAUCUUAUGGUCAGUGUGUCAUCAGUAAUAUCUGGAAAUUCACAGCUUUUAUGAGAGCAAGGGGAAGAGGAACACAGCUCUGACAAAAUGCCAUUAACCCUCAUAAUCUAGAAUUUUCUAGAAAAAAUGUUGUCACUGGAUGAUAUUAAAUGCUGACGAAGAGUCCAGAAAUAAAAGUCAUGCAUGUGUGUUUUGGCUUUUGAGAUUUUUAUACAAGAUGUUAUACAAGAGUGUGAUUUGGGUAUCCUUGACCCUUAACAAGGUGGAUGCAGCAGCAUUAAUAAUGGAGUAAAAGUGUCUUUCACAUGGGUUAUGAAAAGCACUGAGGACCAAAAAAGAAAAGAAAACCUAGCACGAUCAAUGAGACCCCAGGCAAAGGGUUACUAUAAAGUGUUUUUAGUUAUCUGUCUCAUACAUGUCUCAGUGAAAAGAUUUUAAACAGCAUUUAAAUCCACGCAUCUUUUUAAACACUUCUAGCAAUCAUGGAAUGCUGAAUGCUUUAAAAUCUUGUUAGUUUAUAUGGUUUCUUCACCUACACUGGGUUCUCACUGAGAGCCUGUGAGAAUAAAACAGAAAGUUUAGUGCACAAUCCUGCAGGACGAUGAAGUUGACCAUUAUAAUGACAGUUAGAGCCUGUAUAAAGCCACACUUUAUAUUCACAUAUGCCACAAUAUGUUUAUAGUUUUCUAUAAAUAGAUUCAUGAUGCAGUAAUGUGAUCAUACCACCGUGUGUGAGACAAACAUACAGAUUCGCAGGAGAAGAAACUCGGUAGAACGUGCUUGCGCUGCGUUAAUUUAAUGCUGUUCGGAUCUGAGCGUUUUAUCACAGAGCAGACAUUUUAUUACAGGCGCCACCACCCAGUGAAAUUAACACAGUGAAUAUGACUCAAGUCAUAUUCUUAAAAGCUGUUUGAAUCAGUUUCUGCUGUGGGAAAUUAUAUACGACUACACUUUUAAAAAGUGGUGCAGACACAAUAUACUUCUGAGGCAUUAAAUAACACGUGUAUUGCUGGGAAAUUGUUAGUAAACCUAUAUAUUGUGAUAAAUAUUGUGUAUUGGUGAAAUGUCUUUAAGAAUUGUUGGAUGAUAUUUUUGUCACAUCGCCCACCCCAUGCAGAUCUUUGUUGUCAUCACAUAUACAAUGUGCAGUGCACAAUGAGAUGAAAUAACGUUUCUCCUGGACCCAAGGUGCAAGAUGCAUGCGUGACAUACACAGUGCUGACAGGGCAUCAAUAAAGUGCAACAGGAACAAGAAGCAUGCAGGGACGGGGUAUGGGAAACAGUGGGUGUGAGUACACAGAGGAUCAGUAGAGUAUAAAUACUUCUAUCACAAAAAAAGAACAUUUAAACAUGGGAUGGGAGGGAUUGUCCACAAUGCUGGAGGCCUUACAGAUGCUGCGUGGGUGGAAAUUUCCUGAACAGGGGGCAGAUGUGUGCUGAUGAUGUGGUCAGCUGUCUGCAUUCUCCUCUGUAGGGUCUUGUGACUGGAGAUGUUGCAAUUCCCAAACCAGACAGUGACGCAGCUAGUCAGGACACUCUCUAUGGUGCCCCUGUAGAACAUGGUGAGGAUGGGUGGGGGUAUAAUCGCCUUCUUCAGACGCCGGAGGAAAUGCAGGUGCUGUUGGACUCUCUUGGCCAGGGAGCUGGUGUUGGUUGUCCAGGUGAGGUCUUCUGCAAUGUGAACACCAAGGAUCUCGGUGCUCAUCACCCUCUCUGCUGUUGAGCCAUUAAUGCACGGGGGCAGCGAUCAGCGCAAGACUUCCUGAAGUCAGCAUUCAUCUCUUUUCCUCUGUCGACUUUUAGUGACGGUUUGCUGUUCUUGCACCAGACCGUGAGCCGUUUCACAGUAGGGAGGAAAAGAAGCAUAACACCAUACCUUUCUCCUAUUGGUAAUUGCAACAUCACUUUGCUUCUCUUUUCCAUCAAGUUUUUGCCCAUAGUUUUUGCAUAAGUCUCCUUACCCACUUUGCAUCACUAACGGUUGUUCAGCCUCCUGUUGCUGUAGAUCCCCAGCUCUCAUUGAAAAUGAAAGACUUUUGACUGCUUUGUUGCAUUGUUGGGUAUGAGACCAGGGUAAUAUCAUUUUCAUCGCAUCUUGUUUUGCACUGUUUGACCUUUUUAAAACUAAUUUAAAUUUAAAAUUUAAUUUAAAACGCCUUGUACUUUUCAUUGUAUUUGUUUCCAAAAACAUAUUCCACAGAUCUGUUCUGAACAGGAGAAUCAGUCAUUGACCUACCCAGUACAAUAGCACAGUCUUGUUACUGUAAAUUUUUGUUUUGUUUGGGUUUUUUUCCCCUGAUACUUCAUAGUCUUGAUUGAACACUGGAAACAUGGAAAAAGAAAAUGUAACGAACCCAUCCACCAUAGACCAAUGCCACGUGGUAGCUGUAAACUUGGCCCUGAGGUGGAAAUUGGGCUAAAAGCUACUAAAUUACCAAUAGCUCCCCUUGUGGAAAAUGUUCAGCCUGUUAAAUGUAAGUGAAUGAGUGAUGAUCCAGGCCCAUGAGGUGCUUCACAUUUAAAAAAAAAAAUGCCUGGAAUUGCCUUGUCAGCAGGCCACUGAGUCAUGUGUCAUGUGCCAGGCAAUAAUGAAUAAAAAAAAGUGAUACCCUGGAAUUAUAAUCUGCUUCUCUGAGGCACCUGGGUUUAUGGUUUGGCCGCCUAAGCACCACAUGAAUACAAGCUAGUCUCAGCCUCAGAAUCUCUGCCUGUGGGCCAUGGAGUGUCUGAAAGCUUAUUAAACACUUUUCUGGCCACAAGAUUCAGGAUCUUAAAGGAUGCAGUCUGAUCCCUGUGCACCAGUUUUCAAUGGGAAAACAGCUUUUGAACACUGGAUAACAAUUAGCUUUUCAGAGCAACUUAUUGUGACUGGACUGAUGGAGCACCAUUUUGAAAAGUUAUUAAAGAGUUAUGAGUUAAUCUGCCAGGGAACUACUCUUCCAUGUCAGUUACAUUACCUCUUUCUAUAAAAGUAGCUUGGUUCUGGCCACAUUUAUUAACAAAAUGUACAAGACUGUCUGGUAAAUGUUAGAAGUCUGGUUUGCAAGAUUACUAACAGUUAUACUUGCCUGCAACUUGCCAGUAUUCAUUUUCUCAUACUAUAGAGGGCUUAAUGCUAUAAUUCUUAAACUAUUUCUAGUUCCUGGUUCCUAAAUGCACCAAAGUGAAAGAAACUGGAAUGAGGUAUCUGGUCUUUCAAGAGACUGACAUUCCCUUACCACUCCCAUCAGCGAGUCUUACAGUGACUCCCUGAGAAUGGGAGAGGAGUGCUGUGUCCUGUUAUUUCUGGAUUCAUGGCUGGAACAAAGGGAUUUUUAGGUCGAUCUAGCCGUUCCUGGACACCUCAGUGGAAUAGUUGGAUUAUUGUUUCUCUCUUUUGCUCAUGAAAGCAGUUGGAAUUGUGUGAGGGGAUGAAAGCAUCCUGUCCUGACUGGAGCUGUGUCAUGUGUCAUUGUUUGGCAUUAUGAGGUGUGUGCAUGUGUGUAUGAGGAAGAAGGAAAGGCUCGGCUCACGUGAUUGUCUGAAUGGGCUUUUGGGGUAGCCAGAGAGGGAUGGUGAAAAGUGUCUUUCUGACAGUUCUCUUAAAACACUUCUCUACUCUGGCUCUUCUUGUCACUCACCUGUUUCUUGUUCAACAAAGUUUCAGUCAUUGUUUGUUUAGUGCACACUACAUGCUUCCUUUAUAGGAAUUUGUUAAUAGCAAAGGUGUGGACUAGAAAUUAUUCUAGAGAUUCCAAAAAUGCAUGUACAAGCAUUGACCUUUGUGGAAGCUCUUCCACAUUUGGUUAAAUUGGCCUGAAAUGUGGCCAUGCCGUCAGAAGAAUGCAAACGUCAAAAAGCCGCGACCAUCUCAGGUAUGUAGUAUAUGAUCUAACACUAAUACUCUGACUUUCCAUAGAUGUUCAUAUCAGUGAACUACAUAAAUAGCCUAGCUGAUGCUUUUUGCCAGGAUGUGUUUACCUCCUAGAAUGGCUCCACCAGCUCUGGGUUAAACAUUAAACUUGAACCACAUGCAGUAUUUUCUUUAUGCUCUUGCCAUAACCAGCUGCUCCUAAAAAGUACACAUAGCUCCACACUGACUUCAGAGAAGACCUACCACAUUUUACAAGAGCCCAUUCGCCUGACCAAGUGGUCUUCAGUUGAUGCCAGUGGCUUGUAAUUUGAAUCAAUAGGAAUUAAGCCUUAAACUGUGAGAGCUCUUAAUGCUGAGUUGUGGUGAUGAGCAGCACAUCAAAGUGAGUAACCCUUCUCACACCCUGCAUGUGUGUGUUGAGGAGGUAGGGCAGAUUUGUAAACUAAAAUAAGAUGUUAUAUGUCUUGCGGUGUUAGUAUAGGAAGAAUCUCUUUAUGGAAAUAUUGCGAAGACGUCUUCCCAAGAAAGAUACCCAUCUCCUCAAUACAGAUCACUUCUUACGUGCUAAACGUUUUUUGUGCGUUUUAGGACAUAAUGAAGAUAAAAUCCAGCACUUAUGGAGUUGUGAAGUCUCCAUUAGACAGAUUAAAUAGAGCACUGUGCAAACAGCAGUGAAAUUUAAGAUUGAAUGUAGUUUGAUAGUGCUAUCCAUUUCUUUGCCUUCGUUGGGAUUAGUGGCUGGAAAGCGCUGAUCAGUUAUCAGAAGUGGGUUACCUAAAAAUGCAUAAAGGAACAUCGUCUGAUUAAAUAUUAAAAAGUACUCACUUAUUUGCUUUGAGAUCUAUGAUACUGACCUACUGAGUCUCAUGAUUCUCAGCAAACACAACAGCUCAUUUAUGGUUUUCGUCCUGCACGUUGAAGCAAUCAACUACACCAAACAUUGGUGUUCUCAGAACUUACAACCUCCUCAAAGAGCAAUCUUGAUUGUUUUUGGUUGUUGAUGAUCAUUGACUCUAAUUCUGGGUGCAAUUAAAAUCAUGGUUUUGUAAUGAAGGUAAUGAAGUGUUCUCACAGAACAUAAGGGUUUUGUGUUGCUAUAGUCUUCUAAUCCAGUUAUUUUAUUCAAUUUUUUGUUCCAUAUUUGUGGAUGAUAUAUGAUCAGCUGCUUGUGAUAUUCAGCAAUUAAGGAUUGGGAGUUUUUAACAGUAUUAAUUGUUAUAAGAUUUAGUAUAGUUGGUAUUAACUAAUUAUGAAUACAUUAGGUGGAAUGAACAGAUAAUCUAAAUGGAUAGAAGUACAGAUAUGAGUAGAUGGUGACCCUUUUUUUUUUUUCUGGCAAGAAAGCUUGCCAGAAAGGUUCACAGGGAAUCUGAUUGGGACUAGAGGUGUGCAUCAGGACUGGGAUCGCCAAAAAGAAAGUUACGCAAGCAGGAGGUUUUUACUUUUAUAAAAAAAAAUUGAAAGUAAGUGACUGAGUGAUCAUAUGUACAAAGAAAGACAACGUACAUUUACAGUACACAUUCAUUCUUCCUUAAUAACUGCCUGUUCAGGGUCACGGUGGUUUAGAUGAGGAUACUAGUUUCUUUACAUUUUGGAAAAAAGAACCAACUAAAUUUAUUACAAAAUAUCACAGGCAGGUAAAAACAAAAAUAUUAAUGGCAUGAGUGUGAUUAAAAAAAAAAAACAGUCCCACUCACCAUCUCUAGUUGAGACCAAUUAUGAACUUGUAUGAGGUUGAUGUUGGGGAACUUGUCAGAGCCAGAAUUCACACACCAUGCUGACAGUCCUGGCAUUUUGACUCCUGUGGGUUUUUUUUUUUUUUUUUUUGGCGGUUGUUGUUUUUCAGUUUCAGGGCAUAGUGGUAAAUUUCAUAUUAGUGUCAUACUUAAUUUAAAAAACUAAAUUAAUGAAUUUUUUAAAUCCCUUUCAUUAACACAGAUAGUGUCAUUGUGUUAUACCCCUGUUUGGUUUGAUUAGAUACAUGCACAUCUGAAGUGAAUUAUAAUUUUUAUUCUGCAUGUGCGAACAUUUCUCACUCGUUUUAAUGACCGGCUUUGUUUCAUAAGUCUUCAGUCAGCCUUUAUUCAGCAGCACCAAAUCAUCAUGAAAUAUUGCAGCCUAAACUCCAUCUGACUGAAUGUGUUUUGCACUCAGCAAGCAUGGAGUCGCUAAGUGCUAAAUCUUAUUCAGGAAUAAGAAAACACCAGAUACACAGUGAGUGCCAGAAUGUGGCUAUCCUCAUCUGACUUUGGGUUCCACUAGGAGACAGUUCUCUUUUCUGGCAGUGUUUAGUUGGUAAUACUGGCAUUUCCGCAUCACUCUACACUUUCAAUAAUCUCCGAUCUGUGGCUGUUGCUGACAUAGUGGUUUUUUUUUUUGUUUUGUUUUUUGGACAGUAGCAUAGACCAAAUUUAUGAAUGCAGUGUUUGGGCUCUAAAAUAUAUUUUUAAGUAAUGCCCCAAAGCAAAACUCUUUCUGGAGUCAGUCUGCCAUGUUGUCUUAUUUUUACACUGACAUUUAAAGUAAUCAUGUAAUCAUGCACUUCUCAUAGAUAAACACUGAUUGUAGUAAAACUGCAGCUCUGCUGAAGCUCACUGUCUAGAUGCGGUGGCUUGUGACCAGACUGUACACUUCUUGUGCCCUUCCAGUAAGUGUAUUUAAAGAGAUUUCUUCUUUUUUAUUAUAGAAAAAGUGCUCUAGUCAAUGAAAGUGCUGAGGCGAAGCUGUUGU